rnacentral:rRNA from 1 species
UACGUAGGAGGCAAGCGUUAUCCGGAAUGACUGGGCGUAAAGGGUGCGUAGGUGGUUUGACAAGUUGGUAGCGUAACUCCGGGGCUCAACCUCGGCACUACUACCAAAACUGUUGGACUUGAGUGCAGGAGGGGCAAAUGGAAUUCCUAGUGUAGCGGUGGAGUGCGUAGAUAUUAGGAGGAACACCAGUGGCGAAGGCGAUUUGCUGGACUGUAACUGACACUGAGGCACGAAAGCGUGGGGAGCAAACAGG